CGACCGCCCCCUGGCGGGCAAAAUGGGGAACUGCAGGGAGGCCUAGAGGAUUCCCCGGAGCAAGGGGCGGAGAGCCCGGGCCGCUCUGCCUGGUGUGGGAGGGGUGGGAAGAGCAGCAGCGGAGGAAUCACUGCCCCUGCGACUUCUCCGAAAAUGGCUCCGUGUGUGUGUCCUGGGCAUGACAGACCUGGGCUCCGGCGCCCUCCCCGGACUUGGAGUGACCUGGGCGCUGACCCUGGGCAUUCUCACUUCCAGGGCCUCCAGGAAGCCGGUUGCCCGCUGGGAAGGAGGCCGGGCUGGGCAGCUGCAGGUCGAGGGCCCCGGAGAAAGGAAAGGCCGCGUGGGGACCCUGCGGGGACAGAUCUGUGAUCCCUCAUGUCCUGGGAGCCGGGCCCGGCCGCCAGGCUGCGUGGGCCGGGAAGAGAAUCAGCAUCACUGUGGAGUGAGGGGCCUCUGCCAGCCAAUCGUGCUGACAUGAAAACACACAAAACCGCCAUCCACAGAUGUGCACACACGCACGCCUCGCCAACACAGCUUCAGCUCAUUUGCAAAACCCAAAGCUGCUUGCAGGUGAGCUGGUGAACGAGAAGCAGGAAGAGGAAGCUCUUGAGGAAACAGUCAGCUCCGCCCCUGCGAGAAUGAGGCCGAACCCAAACCGCAGUGGAAAUGUCAGCACUGAGGAGGCGCAUCGCGGCUUGGCUUGUGGUGGACCCACUGCAUUUAUUGUAACUGGGUAACCCGAGUCUGUCCUGUCCCCAGUCCCCAGCACCACUGCCCCAUUCUAACAGGGUCAGCCAAGUUAAUUCUGCUAUGGAAAAGUGAAAGGAAAAGAGACACCAUAUUAAAGAAUCUUACCACAGUGAUAUAUGCACACCCAUGUUCAUAGCGGCACAGUGCAUAAUAGCUAAAGCUUGGAAACAGCCCAAGUGCCCGUCAACUGGAAACUAGAUAAAGAAGAUGUGGGUUUUUUUAUAAAAUGGAGUACUACUCAGCCAAAGGAAUGAGAAACUAGAGGCAUUUUAUAGCUAAAUGGAUGCAUAUUGAGGCCAUCCUCUUAAGUGAAAUAAAUAGGACACACACACGUGUAAAUACCGAAUCGUUUCUCUAGUGUGAGAAACUGAAACUGUAAUUAAGGAUUAAAAUGCUUAAAAUGAAUAAUGGAUAAUUUGAAAUAAGAAGAAAAGGUCCAAAGGGGUUGGGGAAGUAGGAGGGGUAAGGGAAAGGAAAAAUGAGAAAUGGAAAAAAUGGAAACAAAGUCUUUGUAAAUAGGGAAGGGUGGAGGGGUGCAGGGAGGACAGGGAAUGGGGAAAAAAUAAGAACCAAGAUGCAUCAUGCACAGGUACAAGCACCCAAUGAUAAAUGUAAAUGUAUUGUAUACCUAAAAUGUACCAAUAAAAGAAUUUAAGCAAAAAAAGACUAUAUUUACUACAAUAACAGAAGGAAAGCCCAGGAACUAAGGGUGUAUGAAGUUGAAAGAGAAAGCCGGAUCUGGGAGUCACACCCAUGCUCCCAGCAUUUGGGAGGCUGAGGCAGGAGGACUGUGUCAAGGUUGAGGCCAGCCUGGGCUGCAUAGUGAGACCCUGUUGAGAGAGUGUGUGCAGUGAAGUAAUUCAGUAUCUGACAGAAUAUAAUGCCCUGCUCAGCUGGUGUGUGCCAAGGUCCAAGGACAUGAUGUCUUUCUACUUCUGUGCCAAAAUAUAAACACACAAGGAUGCUGGAGAUCCCCAUAGUCAGGUUCCAGUAGCCACCUGCCCAGUGUGUGAUGCAGGCCUGAGAAAAAGAAUACACUAAGAGACAGAACUAGGAGAGAAAGCGGGGCAGGAUGACCAACGCUGGUGCAACCGACAAAGGCCUGGCCAGUCCCAGGCGCUGACUUUUAUUGGCAAUCAGUUGGGGUAAAGGUGAUGUGUGGUUUCUAUGGAAAUUAAUGUAAACAAGGCUCAUAAAGAACAAGAUGAGUCAGGAACAGAAUAGACAAAAUAUAUGGUUGUAAUUAGAACACUGUCCUAGUCUGAAGGUUUAAAUUGUGGGAACAGAAUUUGGGUGUGAGAUACUUUGACCUUGGCAUGUAGGCUUCGGCCAGACACUCCUAUAAACAAGCCAGUCAUGGGGUUAACUCUUCACUGCCUGCCUUGGGCGUGAUCAAUAUUACAGUCCUCUGCACAAGGAUUUUAGAAAGUCUCACCCAUCCAUCUGAG
rnacentral:lncRNA from 1 species